rnacentral:lncRNA from 1 species
CCCACCGGUUGAGAACCACUGUUUUAACAAAUCAAAUUGUAUGACGUGAUACAGAAGACAUAAAUUCCUGCCCUAUACCUGUAUUAUUAACACUUACUUUAAGCGAAAUUAUAUGUAUGUAAAGUUAUGAUCACAUUUGAAAGCCAAAAGAUUGCAAUGGUAUUGUUUUCAGUAAUAUGUAUGGCAUUUUACAGUUCAAGUGUAAGAAAAUGUACUCAUUAUAAAAUAGACUGUAAUCAAUGAUAUAGCCGAAACUGCUUUAAAUUAUAACAAAUCGCGUCCGUGCUGUGAAUUGAGGUGAAAGCAGAGACCACAGCGUGUUUUUUGGCCAGAACGCUUACGAGGCGUCAUGAAGACUUUUAUAUGCUAUUUAUAUGCGUGUCGUCAUCUAUGUGUCUCACGCAGUCGGUGGUACGAUUCAUCGUGUUUUACCUUGUUUUCUGCAGAUUCGUCAGAUUCCGAGAUCGACUAUCAAGUGAGGCACGAAAAGCUGGAUAUCCGUCAAAUAAAACUUUGUGUCCGUUGUUAAAUAACGUAGUUUGUUUAGCACAUUUCCUGAUUUAGGCAAACGUCGAUGGAAAUAAACAAAGUGGAGUCCACCAGCGGGAUUCGACUUCAACACACAAGACACGAGGAGAACGUAUCACCAGGAAGAAAAAACAAGGAAUAUCUAACCAAAGGUUCCCAGCAGGACCAGGUCUGUCACAGCAGGAGACAUCCUGACACCUCAAAAGAUCCACGAGAACCAGAAAAUGUAAUCAGUCCCACAGAUUAUUAUUACCAGAAGGUCGCAAGAACAAAAAACAGGUUACUGACCCCCACAGACCAUUAUUACCAAAUGGCCACAAGAACAAGAGGAUGAGAUCUCUCCCACAGACUCUUCACCAUGAGAAUAGUGGGAAGGCUUUUUAAUUUGAGUACUAUAUAUGGAUGUAUCAUGACAAUACAUGCGUGUUUAGAUUUAUUCUCAUUGGAUCAAUGUCCCCUGUGACAUAAACAGAUCUAAGAUUUAACAAGUUUGUUAGUGCUAAAACCAAACCAUAGCAACAUCAAAGGUCUCCAACACUUGCGGGGGUCGUCUUGUGACCCCCCCAAAGUGAUCCAGAUCGGUUUUAAGAACUCUGCUACCUGUCUUAUCCAG